rnacentral:tRNA from 1 species
GGUAAAAUGGCUGAAGUUAGGCGGUAAAUUGUAAAUUUACUUAUGGAAAUUAUUUUCCUUUUACUA